rnacentral:rRNA from 1 species
GACGAACGCUGGCGGCGUGCUUAACACAUGCAAGUCGAACGGAAAGGCCCUGCUUUUGUGGGGUGCUCGAGUGGCGAACGGGUGAGUAACACGUGAGUAACCUGCCCUUGACUUUGGGAUAACUUCAGGAAACUGGGGCUAAUACCGGAUAGGAGCUCCUGCUGCAUGGUGGGGGUUGGAAAGUUUCGGCGGUUGGGUAUGGGCUCGCGGCUUAUCAGCUUGUUGGUGGGGUAGUGGCUUACCAAGGCUUUGACGGGUAGCCGGCCUGAGAGGGUGACCGGCCACAUUGGGACUGAGAUACGGCCCAGACUCCUACGGGAGGCAGCAGUGGGGAAUAUUGCACAAUGGGCGGAAGCCUGAUGUAGCAACGCCGCGUGCGGGAUGACGGCCUUCGGGUUGUAAACCGCUUUCGCCUGUGACGAAGCGUGAGUGACGGUAAUGGGUAAAGAAGCACCGGCUAACUACGUG